GCCCCACAGGGAGGAGCCCCCAGAGGCUGGUGUGGGUCCAGGAGCAAGGACCGGGCUCAGAGCACCCAGUGGGUGGACUGCAGUCGGGGACACGUCCUGGUCAGGGUUCCUUCCUGGCUGCAGCUUCUCUGGGAGCCCCUGGGCUGGGUUCUGUCUCUGCAAAGGCCACGAGAGGCAGACAGGAGGGUGAGCUUUUCUCCUCUCACAGCUGCUCCACCAUCUGAGGAACUAGAGCCGGCUCCAAGUUCAUGGGCAGCUGCAGAGGGAGGGGUGGUGCCUGCAGCAACUUCAACAGGAGACCAGGAGCCAGCGGGUGACCUGGCACCUGCCCACGGAGAGCCUGAAGCUGUCCAGGAAGAGCCUGCUGGAGACCCUGCCAACGGAGAGCCUGCCCCUGAGCCCAGCAUUGCUCCUGCCCCCACACCUGCCCCUCACUGUGUUCCUGUUCUUGCCCCUGCCCCAAAUCCUGCCCCCGUUCCUGCCCCUGCCCCUGUCUGUGCUCCUGAUCCUGCAAAGGAUCAACCCCCUGCCCCUGCCCCUUGCUCUGCCUGUGCUCCUGUUCCUGCCCCAGACCCAGGUCCUGCCCCUGCGCCUGCCAGAGCCACUGCCCUUGCCCCUGCCUGUGCUCCUGUUCCUACCCUCCAGCUCUUGCCUGAGAUCCUGCCCCUUCCUCUACCCAUGCCAGAGCAGCUGCCCCUUCCCCUGCCCCUGCCUGUGCUGCUGUUCCUGCCCUGGACCCAGCUCUUGCCCCAGCUCCUGCCCCUUCCCCUGCCUGAACUGCUGCCCCUUCCCCUGCCCCUGCCAGAGCCGCUGACCCUUCCCCUGCCCCUGCCUGUGCUCCUGUUCCUGCCCCAGACCCUGCUCCUUCUCCUGCCCCAACUCCUGUCCUUUCCCCUGCCAGAACUUCUGCCCCUUUCCCUGCCGCUGCCUGUGCUCUUGUUCCUGCCCUGGACCCAGCUCCUGCCCCAGCUCCUGUCCCUUCCCCUGCCCCUGCCUGUGCUCCUGUUCCUGCCCCAGACCCUGCUCGUGCUCCUGCUCCUGCCCCAACUCCU
rnacentral:lncRNA from 1 species